CUUUCAUGUCUUUCUCCUCCUCUCCUUUUCUUAUGUCUCAAGACCUACUUACAGGGGAGAGCAGUUGUUUAGUUUCCUUUCCCAAAUAAGCAGGCACACAAAUUCAAUCCUGUGUACUGAGAUAGUAUCCUGCACAGCUGUUUUUAUUCUCUGAAUCUCUCUUGGUUUGCUGUGUUGCUUGGGUUGAGGUCUGAAGUAAAAUAAGAAAAUCCCUUGACUCUCUGCCUGGAACACAAGUGGUGGCAUAGAGGAUGUCAGCCAGUAUGCCUGGACUGCUUCCACUCUGAUGUUUUCCUGGGAUAUACACAGUUCAGGAUCCUUUUUUGCUCUUUGGGCAAUCCACAAGGAAAUGGCUACCAUAGCCAUUUCAGGUGACUUUUUUUUAAGCAUCAGAACUUGUUCUCCCCCCCCCUUUCCUAUAUCCGGUGUCAAACUUCUGUUUCCAGCUUGCGUGUACCUGUGUCGCCAAACCAGCAGCUCCUUUGGUGGGCAAGCAGACACAGUCAGCCCCAAACUUGCUGCCUCUUACCAUGUUCCCUGUACAGAGUGAUCUGACCAGUUUGGAGACAGGACCUGCCUCAAGGGAACCUUUUGCUCUCACUGGAGGCUGCAGCACAAGGUCAUACUAGAAAUGGGAACAACAAACUGAACAUGGGAGACCUUUGUCCCCUCUGUUUGCAGCAGCCACAUUGGGGAGAGAGGACGAAAAAGAUCACAGAAGAGGAAGACUGAAAGUGGCAUUAUUAAUGUAGUGCUACUUAAUAAAGUGGCAUUAACUGCUGAUGUCUACUUUAUGUUCAGCAGUGUAGUGUUAAACACUCAUUCUUCCAAAGCAUGAAUAUACUGGGGCAUGCAUACGCUCACAGGAAACUGGUGCAAGUUCGAAGCCUUGAAAAGAAGCACUUCAGAACCACAUCAAAUAGUAAGAAAGGGCUGAAAGAUAUAGUUUGGCCAACACCUCAAUGGAAAGACAUGAGGGCAGGAGGUGUUGUGAAUGGAGGCUUUUGGCAUAUUGCCAGUCAGAUCUCUAGCUAUAAAGCAAAACAAAUGCAGCCAUCUGAAAGCUUGAAUGAAAGAUGGAAGCCAAAUCCUGAAGAGAUAUCGUCAUGUACCAAAACUACUUACUGCCCAACAGAGAUCCGUGAAAGUCACUAACAGCACAAUUCACGAAGAGGAAAAGGAGGCCUAUUGAACCUGCGCCACUGGAAGGCAAGCUGUUGUUCAGAGUAUCACAACUGAUCUCUUUUCCCUUUCUUACUGACUGAGUCCUGGGGUUUCUUUUCCUGAGCUCUUAUUGCUGGAGAAUAACAUUGAAUGCAAUGUUCCCAUUCUCCCAAAGAGAAAAAUUCAAAUAUGAGCCCAGGGAAAAAGGUUGUUCUCUGUUCAUUUUUUCGUCCUGAUAGGAACGAAAGCCUGUGACAACCUUUCUAUAAAUAGGAGAGCUGCUGGGGAAAAAAGCCAUUAAAGUAAUUUCAAAUAAUUUCAUUACCAAAUAAUUUAAAUAACUUCACUGAUGGUAAUACAACUAUGGAAUGUUUUAUGGGUGUUUUUUUUCAUUUCCAUAUGCAAUGUGCUGAUUAGCAAAUGUGCUAAUUUGUCAGUAUGCCAGAUGUGAAACUAGUCAACUUUGUUUUAGCAUCCCUACAGAGCAGAUGCAUACAUAAGUCAGUGCAUUAAAAAGUAAGCAGUAAUUUCCAUGAUCUUCUGCUUUUAAAACCUAAAUUACCUAGUAAGACAAAAGAAACCUUAAGCUUUAAAUAUUGUACUGAUGCAUCUUUCAACCGUCUGUCUUCACUAAGCCAAAAGCAUUUCCUACAUGCCACUUAAUUAAAUAACAC
ensembl:lncRNA